rnacentral:rRNA from 1 species
GGUUAAGCGACUAAGCGUACACGGUGGAUGCCCUGGCAGUCAGAGGCGAUGAAGGACGUGCUAAUCUGCGAUAAGCGUCGGUAAGGUGAUAUGAACCGUUAUAACCGGCGAUUUCCGAAUGGGGAAACCCAGUGUGUUUCGACACACUAUCAUUAACUGAAUCCAUAGGUUAAUGAGGCGAACCGGGGGAACUGAAACAUCUAAGUACCCCGAGGAAAAGAAAUCAACCGAGAUUCCCCCAGUAGCGGCGAGCGAACGGGGAGCAGCCCAGAGCCUGAAUCAGUGUGUGUGUUAGUGGAAGCGUCUGGAAAGGCGCGCGAUACAGGGUGACAGCCCCGUACACAAAAAUGCACAUGCUGUGAGCUCGAUGAGUAGGGCGGGACACGUGGUAUCCUGUCUGAAUAUGGGGGGACCAUCCUCCAAGGCUAAAUACUCCUGACUGACCGAUAGUGAACCAGUACCGUGAGGGAAAGGCGAAAAGAACCCCGGCGAGGGGAGUGAAAAAGAACCUGAAACCGUGUACGUACAAGCAGUGGGAGCACGCUUAGGCGUGUGACUGCGUACCUUUUGUAUAAUGGGUCAGCGACUUAUAUUCUGUAGCAAGGUUAACCGAAUAGGGGAGCCGAAGGGAAACCGAGUCUUAACUGGGCGUUAAGUUGCAGGGUAUAGACCCGAAACCCGGUGAUCUAGCCAUGGGCAGGUUGAAGGUUGGGUAACACUAACUGGAGGACCGAACCGACUAAUGUUGAAAAAUUAGCGGAUGACUUGUGGCUGGGGGUGAAAGGCCAAUCAAACCGGGAGAUAGCUGGUUCUCCCCGAAAGCUAUUUAGGUAGCGCCUCGUGAAUUCAUCUCCGGGGGUAGAGCACUGUUUCGGCAAGGGGGUCAUCCCGACUUACCAACCCGAUGCAAACUGCGAAUACCGGAGAAUGUUAUCACGGGAGACACACGGCGGGUGCUAACGUCCGUCGUGAAGAGGGAAACAACCCAGACCGCCAGCUAAGGUCCCAAAGUCAUGGUUAAGUGGGAAACGAUGUGGGAAGGCCCAGACAGCCAGGAUGUUGGCUUAGAAGCAGCCAUCAUUUAAAGAAAGCGUAAUAGCUCACUGGUCGAGUCGGCCUGCGCGGAAGAUGUAACGGGGCUAAACCAUGCACCGAAGCUGCGGCAGCGACGCUUAUGCGUUGUUGGGUAGGGGAGCGUUCUGUAAGCCUGCGAAGGUGUGCUGUGAGGCAUGCUGGAGGUAUCAGAAGUGCGAAUGCUGACAUAAGUAACGAUAAAGCGGGUGAAAAGCCCGCUCGCCGGAAGACCAAGGGUUCCUGUCCAACGUUAAUCGGGGCAGGGUGAGUCGACCCCUAAGGCGAGGCCGAAAGGCGUAGUCGAUGGGAAACAGGUUAAUAUUCCUGUACUUGGUGUUACUGCGAAGGGGGGACGGAGAAGGCUAUGUUGGCCGGGCGACGGUUGUCCCGGUUUAAGCGUGUAGGCUGGUUUUCCAGGCAAAUCCGGAAAAUCAAGGCUGAGGCGUGAUGACGAGGCACUACGGUGCUGAAGCAACAAAUGCCCUGCUUCCAGGAAAAGCCUCUAAGCAUCAGGUAACAUCAAAUCGUACCCCAAACCGACACAGGUGGUCAGGUAGAGAAUACCAAGGCGCUUGAGAGAACUCGGGUGAAGGAACUAGGCAAAAUGGUGCCGUAACUUCGGGAGAAGGCACGCUGAUAUGUAGGUGAGGUCCCUCGCGGAUGGAGCUGAAAUCAGUCGAAGAUACCAGCUGGCUGCAACUGUUUAUUAAAAACACAGCACUGUGCAAACACGAAAGUGGACGUAUACGGUGUGACGCCUGCCCGGUGCCGGAAGGUUAAUUGAUGGGGUUAGCGCAAGCGAAGCUCUUGAUCGAAGCCCCGGUAAACGGCGGCCGUAACUAUAACGGUCCUAAGGUAGCGAAAUUCCUUGUCGGGUAAGUUCCGACCUGCACGAAUGGCGUAAUGAUGGCCAGGCUGUCUCCACCCGAGACUCAGUGAAAUUGAACUCGCUGUGAAGAUGCAGUGUACCCGCGGCAAGACGGAAAGACCCCGUGAACCUUUACUAUAGCUUGACACUGAACAUUGAGCCUUGAUGUGUAGGAUAGGUGGGAGGCUUUGAAGUGUGGACGCCAGUCUGCAUGGAGCCGACCUUGAAAUACCACCCUUUAAUGUUUGAUGUUCUAACGUUGACCCGUAAUCCGGGUUGCGGACAGUGUCUGGUGGGUAGUUUGACUGGGGCGGUCUCCUCCUAAAGAGUAACGGAGGAGCACGAAGGUUGGCUAAUCCUGGUCGGACAUCAGGAGGUUAGUGCAAUGGCAUAAGCCAGCUUGACUGCGAGCGUGACGGCGCGAGCAGGUGCGAAAGCAGGUCAUAGUGAUCCGGUGGUUCUGAAUGGAAGGGCCAUCGCUCAACGGAUAAAAGGUACUCCGGGGAUAACAGGCUGAUACCGCCCAAGAGUUCAUAUCGACGGCGGUGUUUGGCACCUCGAUGUCUGCUCAUCACAUCCUGGGGCUGAAGUAGGUCCCAAGGGUAUGGCUGUUCGCCAUUUAAAGUGGUACGCGAGCUGGGUUUAGAACGUCGUGAGACAGUUCGGUCCCUAUCUGCCGUGGGCGCUGGAGAACUGAGGGGGGCUGCUCCUAGUACGAGAGGACCGGAGUGGACGCAUCACUGGUGUUCGGGUUGUCAUGCCAAUGGCACUGCCCGGUAGCUAAAUGCGGAAGAGAUAAGUGCUGAAAGCAUCUAAGCACGAAACUUGCCCCGAGAUGAGUUCUCCCUGACCCUUUAAGGGUCCUGAAGGAACGUUGAAGACGACGACGUUGAUAGGCCGGGUGUGUAAGCGCAGCGAUGCGUUGAGCUAACCGGUACUAAUGAACCGUGAGGCUUAACCUU